AGUACCAAAAUUAAACUCUAAAAGUUAUCAAAACAUUAAAACUCUAAUUAUGAACAAAAUCACCUUCUAACCAUGUCUAAACAGCAUGGGCUUAGAACAGUUCCAAGCCCAAUCACAGGGGAGGUAUGGACAGGAUGAGUAGGGUGCACAGAGAAUUGCAUUGGGCCUAAUUGAGAUAGAUGAGCCCAAAGUGAAGGAACAUGAAGCAACGUGAGGUUCACUUCGUUCUUCCUCACACUCACUCUUGGGAGUUCACAGAAGAAACAGGCGACAGACCUAGCCGCACCGGUUCGUCACCAGUUGCGGCGAUUCAAAAUCGUCCAAGCUCUCACACAGCUCUCCGACAUCUCUCCUAACCGAGACGCAACACCUCUCCACCUAAACCAAAUGAAUCGCUAACGUGAGAUUUCUACAUGGAUCGAAUCGAGCGUCAAAUCGGAACAAGGAAUCGGAAUCGAACAAGCAUCUCACCACAACAAAUUAAUCGACUAACGCUAAGAAAUGAGGGGGCUUGCCGGUGAUGGCGAAGGUGAAUCCUCCAGUGAAUGUCGGAUUCGAAGCUCAGGUACUUGCUCUUCGUGCUAGUUGAUUCUUCGAUUUCUUGUCACGAGUUUAUUCUGUUACGUGGCUAAGCUUUUGGUUUCGCGAUUGCUCGGUUUCAUGAUGAACUGUGAUUCUUCUUCUUGAAUAUUCACUGGAAUUGGUGGUGCGGUAAGAGCUGUGAGAUGAAGAAUUUUGUGUGGUGAAGAAUGAAGAAAUUAGUGAAAAAAAUGGAACUCGCGAGCCCUUUUUUGAAUGGAGAAGAUGAUGGAUGAUUUAUAGGGAUUGAAGUUUUAACAGAGUUAGGAUUCUGUUAGCAUCACCAGGCUCAAAUUGGUUAGAAGUUCGAAUCUCUUUAGUUGAUCCGUUAAAUCUGGUUAGCUUUUAGUGCAGUUAAAGUAUGAAUUUUCUCUAUUCUGUUUUUCAGUUGGGUGUUGGAUUUGCAGGUUUUAUGCCGCUUCCAUUUGGCUUUGGAUUCAAGUCGUCGUUUUAAGAUGCGGCGUUCGCGUUUGUAGAUGGUGUUUAAUGUGCUGUUGUGCUGUCGUCGGUUGGCUUUGCAGCGGCUUUUGAUGUUAUUGCUGUUUGGCUUGUCGUAUUGAUCUGCAGCGACCUGUCUUUGUUGUGUUCAUGCAGCGACCUGUCUUUGUUGUGUUCAUGGCUAUCACUGAAACCGAUAGGAUCUUCUGCACUAGAUGUAGUAGCUACAAUUGAAUAAAUGAAUUCAGUUAGAAAUUGAGUUAAAUUUGGGUUACUAGCCGUGACAUUUUUCUCUUAGAAAUGGUAGAAACCUUAUUUUCAUCAUCAUUGGCAUUAUUUGCAACAUUACAUGGUUGCAACAUUUCAUGGGCAUUUGGAUAUAAGUAUUGGACAUGGAUAUUGUAGCGGAGUAUUCGUUAUCUUUAGAUUUAUUGAUUAAAUCAAAAGUAAAUCAUACAAUUCAAGUCGCCGCCGCACUUCUAUUUAUCCAAAGGAAAUGUUAGAAAGCGAACAAAAACCGAGAAGUUUUAUCAAAUUAAAAACUAAUAAAAAUGUGGGAAGGUUUUAAGCACCCAAAACAUCUUUAGUACUCUAAGGGAACCCUUUUUACAAAUGUUGUAAGGUAGGUUGGUAUUUGUGAAA
rnacentral:lncRNA from 1 species